rnacentral:tRNA from 1 species
UCCGGAGGAGGAUCGGGAGCUGGUGUUCGACCGCUUCUACCGGUCGACGGCCUCGCGCUCGAUGCCCGGUUCCGGGC